AAUAUUUUUUAAAACAUAAAAAAGUUAUCAGAAUAUUGCAAAAACAAACCAAACACGCCCUUAGAAGAAUGCUAGAUUACAAAUUUAUCAUCUUUGUCUUAGUUAGCUCAUUAAUAGAAUAUUCUAAACCGUGAACCAAACACGCCCUUAGAAUAAUGCCAAACUUACAAACUGAAUGAACGCAAUUAAUCUCAAUCACGUUUGAUCAAAUAUAUUGGCACUAUUUUAUCCAGAUUCAACAUUUGACAUUCAAUGGGUUCUUCUCCUCUGCCUCUUCGCUUAUUUGUUGAUUGUCACUAUGGAAAAAAUUUAAAAAAUAAAUUAAAAAAAAAAACUUGAAUGAGCAGCAUCUCAAUCACAGGGCUCUCUCUAAAUCUGUCGUCCAAUGUGACAUUGAAAUUCGGAUAAAAAACAUCUAAAUUAGUACAUAUCGGAUCAUUGGCGUUAAUCAUUAAUCCCAAAAACUCGAGCUGUUAGAAAUACGUAACCAAUUCACUUAAAGCAUAUAGAUACAGCGCUCACGGGUCUCGAUUGUGACUCGGCCCAACCAGCCUCACGUCACUUCGAACAUGACUCGACCCACCCAGCCUCACACCAUUUCGAAUAUUACUCUACCCAACUUGGCCUCCUGCCAUAUGACAAGAUGCUGGUCCAUUUAAGCCAACAGUAUAAACUGUUAAAAUCCGUGUACCAAAUGAGUCACACAGCUCACCAAACUAUCUCGACAAGAU
rnacentral:lncRNA from 1 species